rnacentral:rRNA from 1 species
GACGAACGCUGGCGGCGUGCCUAAUACAUGCAAGUUGAGCGCUGAAGGUUGGUACUUGUACCAACUGGAUGAGCAGCGAACGGGUGAGUAACGCGUGGGGAAUCUGCCUUUGAGCGGGGGACAACAUUUGGAAACGAAUGCUAAUACCGCAUAAAAACUUUAAACACAAGUUUUAAGUUUGAAAGAUGCAAUUGCAUCACUCAAAGAUGAUCCCGCGUUGUAUUAGCUAGUUGGUGAGGUAAAGGCUCACCAAGGCGAUGAUACAUAGCCGACCUGAGAGGGUGAUGGGCCACAUUGGGACUGAGACACGGCCCAAACCCCUAAGGGAGGCAGCAGUAGGGAAUCUUGGGCAAUGGGCGAAAGCCUGACGGAGCAAAGCCGCGGGAGGGAAGAAGGUUUUCGGAUCGUAAAACUCUGUUGGUAGGGAAGAACGUUGGUGGAAGUGAAAAGCCCCGUAAUGACGGGAACUUACCAGAAAAGGAACGGCAACUUCCUG